rnacentral:rRNA from 1 species
UACGUAGGGCGCAAGCGUUGUCCGGAUUUAUUGGGCGUAAAGAGCUCGUAGGCGGUUUGUCGCGUCUUCCGUGAAAACUGGGGGCUUAACUUCCAGCUUGCGGUGGAUACGGGCUGACUGGAGUGCGGCAGGGGAGACUGGAAUUCCUGGUGUAGCGGUGAAAUGCGCAGAUAUCAGGAGGAACACCGGUGGCGAAGGCGGGUCUCUGGACAGUUCCUGACGCUGAGGCACGAAGGUCAGGGGAGCAAACGGG